CAAUAGCGUAUAUUUAAGUUGCUGCAGUUAAAAAGCUCGUAGUUGGAUUUCGGGUGGGAAUGGCCGGUCCGCCGUUUCGGUGUGCACUUGCUACGCCCACCUUGCUGCCGGGGACGUGCUCUUGAGUUCACGCUCGGGACACGGAGUCGGCGAGGUUACUUUGAGUAAAUUAGAGUGUUCAAAGCAGGCCUACGCUCUGAAUACAUUAGCAUGGAAUAACACGAUAGGACUCUGGCCUAUCUUGUUGGUCUGUAGGACCGGAGUAAUGAUUAAGUGGGACAGUCGGGGGCAUUCGUAUUUCAUUGUCAGAGGUGAAAUUCUUGGAUUUAUGAAAGACGAACUACUGCGAAAGCAUUUGCCAAGGAUGUUUUCAUUAA
rnacentral:rRNA from 1 species